UGGGGAAUAUUGGACAAUGGGCGCAAGCCUGAUCCAGCAAUGCCGCGUGAGUGAUGAAGGCCUUAGGGUUGUAAAGCUCUUUUACCCGGGAAGAUAAUGACUGUACCGGGAGAAUAAGCCCCGGCUAACUCCGUGCCAGCAGCCGCGAUAAUACGGAGGGGGCUAGCGUUGUUCGGAAUUACUGGGCGUAAAGCGCACGUAGGCGGCUUUGUAAGUUAGAGGUGAAAGCCCGGGGCUCAACCCCGGAAUUGCCUUUAAGACUGCAUCGCUUGAACGUCGGAGAGGUGAGUGGAAUUCCGAGUGUAGAGGUGAAAUUCGUAGAUAUUCGGAAGAACACCAGUGGCGAAGGCGGCUCACUGGACGACUGUUGACGCUGAGGUGCGAAAGCGUGGGGAGCAAACA
rnacentral:rRNA from 1 species